GAGGGAUGGGCAGCAGCGAAGAGGCAAAUCUCCCCCCAGAACCUGUUUGCCCUACACAUUUGCUAGGGGUUUUCAGAAGGUAGACUUCUCUGGGGACAUUGGGAGAUGGCGGGGUUAGAGAGGAAGAGCCCAGCAAACUUUUCAUAGAUCCUGCCACGCCAGCCCCUCGCUCCCAGAAAUUACAGCAAUCAUCGCUGCACUUAUUCUGUGAAGAUACAUGUGUAGAUGUGACUUAAGUGUCUGUUUCUUCAUUGUUCCUUGUGUCCUUACCAGCCUAAAUUUCAGGUUCUGUGUCUCUGGAUAAGAUCCAUAUCGUAUAUCCAUCAAACUUUGCACACCCGACUCCACAUGGGAAAGUGAGCCAUGAAAGUCGUUUUACAUCUGUAUACUGCUGUGAUUCCAGGGCACAUCACUGGUGCAUUCUAUCUGAACAGAGUAAUCCAGAUCUGCAACCAGCCAAAGCAAUUCCACUAGGAACGCUGAUGCCCUAAGCUGACAAAGGGGACUACCAGGAGAUAAAGGAUGAAGAAGAUGGGACAUAAAAGCUCUGGGAUCAAGUUCCCAAGGUGUGAGCAGGGCAGAGUGUCAUCCUUGCCCUAGACAGGGUGAAAGCAACUACCCACAGCAUGUCCCUGCACUUCAGCCUGGGACUGGAAACUUGGCUUCUGCAGUAUACAGGCAAUACUGAAACUCAGGGGCUGGCUGCCUGGGAGAAAGAAAAGCCUGACCAACCAGGGUCGUCCCUGAUGUCAUGGGGUGAGGCCAAAAGCUCCAUACUUCCUAAAUUUAAGGAGCCCUGAAAUGACAGAAUCAGUGAUCCUGAAGUAGAUCCCGUGGUGAGUGUCCUCCUGUGACUUCUAGUAUAAAGAUGUUUCAGACUGUACUGAUGUGAUUAUCCUGACAUGGAACCUUCUACAGGGAAAUCCACUGCACAGAGUGAUGUCAGGCCCCUCACUGUGACACUGAGAGCCUCAACCUUGGACACAACAGAUCUGCAUGGAAACCCAUCCAGAGAGCCUAGUGGUGAGCUCUCAAGAGACCUCUGAGUGGCUAUCUCAUGGACGGACACAUGCUCUCCUGGGACAUUCCAGGCCUAGCAGUUAUUUCCACCCCCCCAUGGGACAACCUGUUCUCUCACCCUUUCUGAUAGACAAGCAAGGGCUGCCCCAUAAAGGAGAUGUAAAAAUUGUGCACGGUGCAAACAGGAGAGGAACUCACAAUAAUCACGACGGUGCCAGCAACUCUCAGACCAACAUUCCACACAAGAAGAAGGAGACUUUGAUAAGACGUUAAUAAUAAUAUUACAGACAUCAAAGUUAAACUUUACUUCCAUUACUGUCAAAGAGACCACACAGUAAUAAGCAAAACAGCAGACUUUUUAAAAGAGAAAUUUAAAGCACCAAAGCCCCUCUGUCAGCACCUUCGGUUAUUUGUCUCACAGCCUCUGCCCUGCACAUAGGUUUGUACGUCUUUAACACAGGGCAAUAGCACUGCACAGAUCAUGUGGUAUCCUGCUCCUCUUUAAAGAGCCAACACUUUUCUAUUGACUUGGGCUUCACGACAAUCAUUUCAAACUGCAUGCAUGCCACUGGGCUAGCUCUGUGUGCAAGCGUUGCUUUACAUAGCAAUGGUUAGUUUAGCAAUCGUCAAAUGAUUAUUUGGAAUCAUUCGCUUUUUUAAUCUAUCUUAUAAAACUGAAAUGAAAACUUCA